ACAGUCACAUCGUGUUGAAACAGCGAUUUUCGUCCGAUCACCGACGUUAAGCAACGUCGAGCCUGGUCAGUUCCCGGAUAAGUGACCGUUUAGGAAUACCAAGUGAUGUAAG